CUUGUGACAGCUCCCUUUGCUGGUUUAGUUUAUCAGACUCUUUGAAAGGGAGAUGACAAUUAGGGUGAAAAUGAGAGAGAAGCAACAAUAUCUAUAACACAUACAAGAACAGAAGGGCUGUAACCAGCAAUUGAAAAGUCCCUUGAUGACAAAGACUAGGGAGAAAAGGGAAUAUAGAAGAAGGGGAUGAAAGGUGAAAAAAGAAGAAAAUAGAAACUAAAAGCAAAUAAAACCAAGAAAAUUUAACAUGUAAUGGCAAAAGAAAAGAAACAGAGAGGUGCAUCCUGAAUGGAAGCUGAGGGAAAUAUUGGGGGUCUCAUUGAAAAGUAAAAUGUGUGAUAUUGCAGGAAUUACAGACCAACUUCUUGGGAUUCUGACCUCUUCCACACUGAAGAUCAGAGGACAGGGAAGAGUUAUCCAAACAACCAAAGAAAAGAACCAUCCUGCUUUUUAAGACAGCAUGGUUUAUAGACAAGCAGAGACAAGAUAGUGUCCGAGGAUCCAGACUGGAUUCCUGAUUCUGACAAUUUAGUUCCAUGUCCUGGGGCAAAUCAUCACCUCUCUAAGAUUCUGUUUCUUGUCCAAGAGAGUAAUAAUGCUUCACUACAGGUUUGUGAAAAUCUUUAUAUAAAUGGUAGUCAUUCCAUUUUUAAAACUUUUUAUUAUGGAAAUUUUAAAACAUACAAAAACAGAAAGAAGAGGAUAAUGAACUCCCAUGUACCCAACACCCAGCAAUAACAGGGCCAUUUGAAGCCAAACAGUGAAGAAGAUGUAAUAGGGUUCAGAAUCCUCAAGACCUUACCUGAUACUGCUAAAAAUGUCCAUUGCCAAGGGAGCUUCAGCCUUUCCCCCUUUCCCACUUGAUCAAUAUCUACCUUUUCUAUAUUGGAUUUCCUCAGGCCCUACUCAGUAGAUACCACUCAGUAGUAGUCCAGCCUUGUCUUCACCAAGAAACGUCUAUUGUGCCUGUUCAACAAAUUAAAUUUAUUCAGAAAUGAUUUGUUUUUUUCCAUUUAAUCAGUGACACAUUUAACUGCUGCUCAGAGUUCCCUGACUAAUAUGAUAUAAGAGAUGCUAGCUACCUUGUGGAUUUGAUAUAAUUUCAGACAGAGGGCAAUAAAAAAAGUCUGUCUAUGAAGUUACAUCUUGGCUAAAUUUAUAAUUUCCAUCCCAUAUUUUGAAGUUUUAAAAGUAUUUUGAAGACUACCAUUUAUUUCAACAUCAUAAGUUGAAGAUCAUUGAUUUUUUCAUAUAAAUUAUUUCUCCUAAUGCAUGUAAUUCCCUCCUCUUGGGUAAGUUAGUAUCUUCCUUUGAUUAAAAAUGCAUAAAAUUAUUAGCACAAAAGAAACAGCACGUCCAUUAAGAGUUAUAUUUGGGGUCCUUGGACAAGAUCCUCUUCUCUGACUCUGGUCACGACCAGUCCUACCUGCCAACCACAGAUACAUGAUAAUUUAAGGUACCUAUUUUGAGACAGAUAUUUUGACCCAGCCAUUUGACAAACCAUUAUCGAAUGAUAACAUGUACUUGAUUGACUUAGAUUACACAUCCACAAAAAUUUCAAUUUGAUAGCAUAAUUCACUUUAAAAGAC
rnacentral:lncRNA from 1 species